rnacentral:rRNA from 1 species
UACGGAGGAGGCAAGCGUUAUCCGGAAUUAUUGGGCGUAAAGCGUCCGUAGGUGGUUGUUCAAGUCUUCUGUCAAAGCGCGGAGCUUAACUCCGUAAAGGCAGAGGAAACUGAGCGGCUAGAGUGCGAUAGGGGCAGAGGGAAUUCCCAGUGUAGCGGUGAAAUGCGUAGAUAUUGGGAAGAACACCGGUGGCGAAAGCGCUCUGCUGGGUCUGCACUGACACUGAGGGACGAAAGCUAGGGGAGCGAAA